rnacentral:lncRNA from 1 species
AUGUUUGUUCUAUGUAUUCUCGAGACGAGAACGUGUUUUAAAUUACAUGCGUUAUUUACAUAUAUUUGAGAUAAUAUGUAUUAACAUGUGAUUGGAUUACAUGUGCUUGAGAGGUAUGUAUUUGUUGCAUUAGCAUAUAUGGGGAAUCGUAUGCUCAUGCAUUUCAUAGUACGUAGUUAUCGGGAAUGGACUACGGGGGUGUGAUUAUCGGGAAUGGAUCCACCUUAAUCAUGCGGGAUUUUAUUGAGUCCAAUACGUGGUUAUCGGGAAUGGACCACGGGGUGUGAUUAUCGGGAAUGGAUCCACUCUAAUCCUUCGGGAUUUUAUUGAUUCGCCCUAUGAGGCAUAGCAGGGGUUGGACCU